rnacentral:antisense_RNA from 1 species
UUGACCGAGUACUCCCAGAUGUCCUCCGGGUCGGCGAGCGUCUCGUCGCCGAAGUGGUCGCCGUUCGCGAGCACGCCGAGCGUCGUCUCGUCGCCGUACUGGCCGGGCCCGAUCUUGCUCACCUUGCCGUGCGCGAUGAGGAACGCCUGGUCGGAGGUGUGUCCGAACUCGACGAUCACGUCGCCCGGCUGGUAGGUCUGUUGCACGAACCGGUCGGCCAGCGCGGACAGCACGGUCUCGUCGGCGAACCCGCGCAGCAGCGGGAGCUCGCCCAGCUCCGCGGGGAUGACGCGGACGUCGCUGCCGGUGCUGACGAACGUGACGCGGCCGUCGCCGACGGUGUAGGUCAGCCGGCGGUUCACGCGGAAGACACCGCCGUCGGCCUGCACCCACGGCAGCACGCGCAGCAGCCACCGCGAGGUGAUCGACUGCAUCUGGGGGACGGACUUGGUCGUGGUCGCCAGCUGCCGCGCCGCCGCGGUGCUCAGGCUCUGCCUCGGCGCGU